rnacentral:rRNA from 1 species
UACGAAGGGGGCUAGCGUUGCUCGGAAUCACUGGGCGUAAAGGGUGCGUAGGCGGGUCUUUAAGUCAGGGGUGAAAUCCUGGAGCUCAACUCCAGAACUGCCUUUGAUACUGAAGAUCUUGAGUUCGGGAGAGGUGAGUGGAACUGCGAGUGUAGAGGUGAAAUGCGUAGAUAUCAGGAGGAACACCGAUGGCGAAGGCAGCUGCCUGGCCUAGAACUGACGCUGAGGUGCGAAAGCGUGGGGAGCGAACAGG